AUAUUGAUAAUUCUAUUUUUCAAAUAGAAUAUUUUCAGUGUUCUGGAAAUUGUUUUCAUCAUGGUUUUAUUAGUACAGUAUUUACUUUUUCAAACGGCGAAACGAAACGUAUCGCGAUGUCUAUGACAGAGCGGCUGUCAGUGGAGCUGUCAAAUGACUUAGGAAUUUGUCGAUCGUGCGCAACCGCAAUUUGAUUAUUUUCGGGAAUGUAAUUCCUUUUAUUUCAAAUCGGGUGGUGCAAAAUGCAUCCACGAUAAUUUCUUGAUGAAUAAAUAAAAAUAACACACAUGAGAGAUUCCCUAAAUUCUAUUCGGAUGAGGGUAUUGGGUUGCUGAGGGCUGCGAGCGAAGCUCAAAUUAGUGAACAGCCUUCGUAAGUAUUUCUUUCCCAUUGCGGUUUUUUUCAUAACCUAAUGCCACGUUCCACAUGUGAUGCUGACACACGUAUUUUUCGUUUCAGAUGCGGGAUUUCAUAGAUUUCAUAUUUUACAUGUUGAUAUUUCAUAUAUUUUAAUUUCUCUUCAUUUCGUAUCAAAUAUUUGUCCUUUCUAAACUGCUGAUCUCUUCGCAUUUCCUCCUUGUCAUCAAACCUCUGUCUCUGCAAGAGUUUGAACGCUUACCUGUCGAAGAGAUGCAAGAGCUUCAUCUGGCACUGCGCGCUUGAGGCCGUGGAGGACGCUGCUUGGAGCCUAAAAGUGUGCGAGACCCGUUGGACCCCGGAAGAAGAGAGGAACGUUCAGGGUAACGGCUUAUAACCGCAUGGCUUCCAAGGUACCCACUUUUCCAUCCUUCAAGUAGGAGUCUUUCCGACCUGACAUCGUGCAGUUAUCUUAACUAUUAGAGUCUUUUAAUAUUUAGGCUGAGUUUUAAGAAAUUUGUAGUGGCAAUAAUAUUCACCAAACCGAACCUAAUUAACGACCCUGAAUCCCUUGAGAUUGGCACUAUUACAGUAGUUAUUAUAAUAUCGUAAUUGUUAACUUUAUACGAGCAUACGAGAUAAAAAUAAAUUGUGUCAAUUGA